GCUGAUAUUUUGUAACUUUCCGCUAAGAAAAUCGAAAAUUUGCAAAAAUUCGGGAAGUUAAUGGUUUUGGUCCGAUUUUCGAAAAUCGAAUUUCUGUCAGAUCUUGACGUUCUGAGGUUCUAGGAAGCUAUUCUGACUAAUUUCAAGAUAAUGUCCGAGUGUGUGUAUGUGUGUAUGUACAUACGUAUGUAAAUAUACGUAACUUUUGAACGGAUAAAUCGAUUUUGAUUUUCAAGGUGUCAUUCGACGUGGCUAGUUAAUAUCUAAAAGCUGAGAAAAAUUGAGCGUGAUCGGUAGGGCUUGUUCAGAGAUAUUCCAAAAAUGUUUUUUUUGGAUAACUUUUAAUUCACUCGAUGGAUUGAUUCCAAAAUCUAAUCAGCUCUAAAACUUUAUAAGCUGCGUCGAAUGUCACCUUAACCAUCAAAAUUAGUUCAUUCCUUCAAGAGGAACCGUUGACAAUAGCCCGUGUAGGGUUUUAUGAAUGGCCAACUAUCCGGCUAUGAGUGGGUGCCGAGCAUACUAGCCUGGCACAGUAAUGGCAACUAAGAUUGGCCGUUCAACGGGCAACGGCUGGAACCUUACUUGGACUCAGCCAUGGCAAACUAUCAGCGGCAGAGUAUUGACAAAUAUUAUGGCCUAGCCAUGGCGAACUAUCAUCGGCCGAACAUAGUCUACUUGAAUGGCCCAAUGAUAAUAAUUAAAGACGGCCCAUAAAUAACAAAAUUUGAAUUUAGAAUACGACGUAGAAUCUAAAAAGUAAAUUUUUUUAACAGUAAAAUUUACAAUAGUUUAAAUAAUUAAGCUGAAGAUGUUAUUGAAUAUUUAUUGUAAUAAAUCAACAUAAAUUAAAUUUCACAUACUUAUAUGUAAUCGUUCCCGACUAGCAGUUCUUCCUAAUUUGCCUGAAGUACCAUAAGCACCAUAUCAGGUUAAUAUAGGGUUUGCCUCAUUAGGGCAAGCCUGACAAGUUCCUCGGCAGGACCUCAUCAGGAUAUCCUUUUAAAAAAAAGAGUUAUUUGCCAUCAGGUCAACCUGACGAGUUCCUGAUCAAGACCUCAUCAGGAUAUCCUUAUACAAAAAAAAAGGUAUUUGUCAUCAGGUCAACCUGACGAGUUCCUGAUCUGGACCGUAUCUGGAUAUCCUUAUUCAAAAAAAAGUUAUCCCAUUCUUUUAAAUAUUUCAUUUACAGGCUAAAAAUUUUAAAAAGUACAAAAGAAUAUUAUAUAAAUAUCACGUCAAUUAUUGUAGCACAGAUUUUUUACUUCUUCAUCAGUUAUUCUUUGACAUCGUAAUGAAUAUUAUAUUUACACUUUUAAGAUCACUUGUGUAUGUUAGCCCAGUGGAUAGCAUCGAGGACUUUGAAUCGAAAGGACGCAGGUUCGAGCCCAGCAGUUAUCGGGAUUUUUUCAUCAAUAAAAAAUAUGUUUACUUUCUCUAAUUAAUGCUUUCAAUACAAUAGAUAACAUUCUCGAUCGAAUUCAAAUUCUCUUAUUUUUGUUUUGCAAUUUAAUAUUUUUUUUAAAAUAGUUACUAAUAAGGUAAUCCUGAUAAGGAUUUGAUGAGGCUUUCCCGGUAGGAACCUGAUAAGGCAAUCCUGAUAAGAACGUGAUAAGGAUAUCCUGGUAAGGUCCUGAUAAGGCAAUCCCGAUAAGGUCCUCAUGGGUCUUAAGCGUUACAUCCAUAUCAGGAUCCUCGUCAGGGUACCCUGAUCGGGACCUUAUUUGAAAUAAGGUUAACCCGAUAAGGACCUUGUCAGGCCCUUAUGAAAAAUUCUAGUCGGGUUCAAGGCUGGCCCGCAGGGUCAACCGUUAAACCCAUUUUCUUACAUGUUAUAGUCCUUGUUGAAAAACAAAUCCGUGAUUUAUUUCGAAUUUUUAUAUCACCUUUUUAAAAAAUUACAAAUUUGUGGAAAUUUCAGAUUAAAAAUAUUUGAAUGCUACUGCAUAUUAAUUUUCGUUCAAAAAUCGAUUACAAUCGACUUUUUGUUCUGAUUAAUCGAUUUAAAGAAUCGAAAUGAACAGACUCGAAGUGGGGAUCGAAAAUCGAUUCUUUGACAAAUUUUUCUAUCCCUACACAGGACGGCGUCUUGUCGCAGCGAUAUCUUCAAGUCGAAGGAGAUAUCUGUGCGGCAAGAAAGGAAUCGGUGCUAAUUUUCCCGUAUGAUGACCUAAGUUAGUUUUAAUAUUUAAAAUAAAAUGUGGCUUAUGUGUGCGAGAAAAAGUGUGUCGAGUGCUUUCGUGUUAUUUGAAGACAUAGAUAUUUUUAUGUAAAAUUUAAAAAUCGAUUCCGUUGUUAUGGUUUCAAAUCCAUAUACAUGUUUUUUCAAUGCAUCGUUGACGUGAACCUUGAAAGAUGGAAUCAGUUGUUGGGUGACUUAAUUGGUUACAAACAGAUAGGAACUUACUUUGCAAGCGCUUGAUUGCCUUAGCGGACAGAACAAAUAUUAAAAAGACAUAAAGAUGCCUUUAGAUAACCGCAAAUAUUAAUAGUUCGUCACGGUAGAUUGUCAUAAAAAUGCAUUUUUGUCGCAACGACUGUUGUCAUAGAGACACUUUGUGGAUUUAUAAUUUGUGAUCCUUAGCAAAGCCAGUAGUUAUUUUGCUAACGCAGCAUACUGACGUACUCGAAAAAAUCUCCAUCAAAUUAAGUUUAGGAAAUUCAUUGUUUGAAAAAGAAAAUAUAAGGUUAAUAAUUUAAAUUAUGUUCAAUUUGAUUGUCUUCAAUAGAGAUUAAAGUCAUUAAAUAUUGUGGCGUUAUACUGUCAGAAUAAUGUCGUGUAAUAAAAUAACAUUAUUUUAUUAUUGCUUAUUUAUUGUUAAUGUUACGUGCAGUAAAAUCGAAAUUUACGCGUCUUCACCAGAAGAAGAUUCAUCAAAACGUCUCAUUAGCCAUGCGGUAAUUUUUAUUAUUAAUUUAAUUUUUGAUAAUUUGUUUCCAAAUGGCAAUUAGUUAAUAAAUUCUUUAUUGUUACUAAUAGAGAGAAAUAGUGGAGAAAUGUUUUACAAAUAAUUCUAAUCCAAUUAUAAUAAAUGCUGAUUUGAUUAAUGACGAUGACAAAGUUGAAAAUCCGUCUGAUAUUAAUUACAUGAAUUCAUCAUUAAUUAUAAUUAACGAUGAUUACAAGCCAACUAAGAUCGAAGGGUAUAUUCCUGCUUAUCCAACGUACGUCCUUUUGUUUGAAUCGUUGCUAAAACUGGCAACGCUUAUUGGAGAGUUAAGGAAAUCAAAAAUCUGGAGUAUCAAGUCUCCGUUUUUUAUUCUCGACACGACAAAAGAUCCUCGUUGUAUGAAUGCUCAACCUGUACUAGGAGUGCUGUGGGAAAAUAAUUUAUUAUCUGCAUAUUACUUGUGUUAUGACAGAGAUUCGACAAUUAUUUACACUUUAAAUCCUUUCAUAAAUUACGCUCCGUCACCGUGGGUCCAACUCGAUGCCAGUGAUGUAUUUGUACAUAAACCUGAGGAAAAAUGGACAUUCUACACUCUAAAAUAUUCGAAAGGUAAAAAAAUAUGUCAGGACAUAACUUUUAAGAAAACAAAAUACGUAGACAGUUAUAGAAUAAAAACAAUAUCUGUUGAGCGAUUUCCGAAUGUGACUGCUGAAAAGAAACUAAAAAUGAUGAAAAAUUAUAUGAAAGAAAUAAUGGAUACAAAAUUAACAACAUUACACACAUUUAUUCUGUACAUUAAUGCAACAUUUUUAGUCUUCUUCUCGGAACAAGGUUUUUCCACAGAAAGGAUGGAUUAUGGUUACAUUGACGAGUUAGUACAAGAAAAGUAUGAUGCUUAUGAUAAGUUAUCGCAAUUAGCAGAUACUAACUAUCAGUUUACGGAUGUUAUGACACAGUAUACUUUAAUCGAAUUUUCAAUACUGACAAAAAAGUCGAAUUACUUGACAGUGAUGAGCGAAAUAACUUACAAUCUACAAUUUAUUGUUUUAUCGAUAGUUUUUCUAUUAUUGAUAUUAGUGGUCAUAUUGAUUAAUAAUACCUUCAGAGUUAGUGAAAGUAUUAUGGACGUAGUGAGAAUGUUGGCCAAUAUGGGAGUUAUGUCCCCAAUGGACCGUUUGUCUAUGAGAAUCAUUUACUUCUCCGGAUUUUUAUUUAUAUUUAUAAUAAUGCCCGAGUUUCAGGGCCAAAUAUCCGCAAUGUUGUCAAAACCAAUCCGACGUAACGUCGAGUCACUGAAAGAUCUCCGAGACAAUAAAUACCACGUAUAUUAUCACAAUAUUUUAGUGAAUGAUAUGAUCAGUCAAAAGUUGUGGGUUACUGAUGAGGACAGAAAAUAUUUAUAUCCAUCGACUUUUCUAGAUCUUGAAAAAUGCGAAUAUGAAGCUCAGAAAAAUUCAACUAUUGCAUGUAUCAACAUGAAGUCGUCUCAAUUAAAGUCCGCUUUAAAUUUGAAAAAUUUACAUAUUUCUAAAGACGUCGUAUUUAGUAAAUAUUUCGUAUACUGGACCAGGAAGAAUUGGCCGCUGAAAGAUAGAUUCGAUAAAAUGGGUACACUAUCGGCGGAAACAGGUUUAAUUUUUUAUGAGGACGACAAAGUGAGCAAAGAAUAUUCGAAAAAGUUAAAGAAGAUUAAUAAAAUUAAAGAAAAAGAAAAGUAUGAGCAGAUUGACUUUGAUAAUUUGGUGUUCAGUUACAUGAUCACUGGAGUGAUUUUACUGUGGAGUGUGUUUAUUUUUGCAAUCGAACUGCUUUUUCAUAAAUAUUCAAAACUUCGCAAACAGGUUCUGAUAAGGCGAAGGUUCGGGAAUAUAAAAUCAUUGAGAUCGCAACCGAGAAUUGUUUUCUUUCCUGGACGAAUGGUUCUUCUUAAUAGCCGCGAGUGAUUUUAUCUCGAAACCAAGUAUUAAAUUAGUAGUAAAUCCGUAAUUAGUAUUCACUGAUUGGUUGAUGUGGAUUUGAUAAUUGCACUCGAUGAUAUUCAAAAAAGGUGUCAUCUGCAGGUUUUAGUCACUAAGUAAAUAAUAAUUUAAACUGUCAAAUAUCUGAAUAUGUAUCAAUGAUACCCAAAAUACAACUCUCAUUUUCCGUAAAGCAUAAAAUAAUAUCCAAAAAAAUUUGAUUCAACUUUUUUCUUAAAAUCGACUCUUGAAUCUCUAGAAACUCAAAUGAAGAUAACGGAGUCAAACUUAAAAAAAAUUGAACCGCUGCUUAAAAGUUGGAAGUGGAAUAAAUUUCGUGUUGUUUAUCAUUAAAAAUUAUGACUCUGCGAUUUCCAUGAAUUGAGUGUAUUGAUUAAUAAAUAAAAAUUUGAUUAUGAAGAUAUCAUUCGAAGAAACUCAAAUUGAAAAUUUUUCUCAAUCUAUUUGUUCAUACGCAAUUAAAUAGAAACUUCUCUGUGAUUGAACGCUCUCCACAUAACAAUUUUGGUACAAUUUUUAUUUUAAAUCAGAAAUCUAUACUCUCGAAGCAUUUUGAGAUUUUCGUCAUAUAUUCAUUCAAAAAAUUCAAAACAGCUGAUUUGGAUUCAAAAUAACUCCAUUAAUAUUAAAAAUUUCCAGAAAUUGGUGAUGUGUUUUUUUGUAAAGCAUUUAAUUUCCUUCACUUAAGUUGUUUAAAGUUAUGACUGAUUUUUAUAAUAUUGUAGUUCAACAUUUUAUAAUUUUUUAUUUUAUUCCAAAUAUUUUUUAAGACAACUAUCGGCGUUGAGAGCAUAGCCAAUUUUAAUUCCAUUGUUUGACAAUAUUUUAGUUUUAUGAUUUAAGACUUUUUUUUUAUAUAUUGUAAAACUUCAAAAUGUGAGUUUCUCUGAAUUUGAGUUUAGAUAAUUAACAACUUAAUCCUAAAAUCCUCUUAAAAUUUAUUCCUUAAGUAAAAUUUAAACUUAUUUUCCCAGACGACGACGUCCAGCUGAACUAAAUUACUUUAUUGCCUUUUUCCUUUAAAUGUCUUCUGUCCUAGGCCUAUGUCGAUAUCAUAUGGUCUCCAGUUUUCUCUAAAUAAUUUCUAGCCUUUCUAAUGUCUCGCUCUUUUCUCUUGUCUAUCCUUUCUCGCAAUACCUCCUCCUACUCCAAGGAUUGUCACUCCUACAAUUGCUGAUUCCCAAUCACAAUGUCACUUUUCCCACCUUUUCUAAACGCUUAGAUUUUUACAUACAGUUCAAGGGUCCUGAGGUUAAAGGGUCUCUCAGAUACAAGACAAAAAUAAUAAGACAGUUACCACCAAGAACCCAAACCGUUUAAUUGAGACUUGCCUAGUUCUCAUCCUUACCAAAAUUCAAAGCAAAUUCCAUUUUAAAGUUAUUACCGAAUCUGUUCAUUUAUUUAUAUUCACCAUUUUUGUUCAAUUAAUUUAUAGAAGCAUUUUGUUCAUUAUUAAAUCACAUCAGUUACUAUAUUGAAAUUCAAAAUAAAGAAACAUUA